UACGAAGGGGGCUAGCGUUGUUCGGAUUUACUGGGCGUAAAGCGCACGUAGGCGGAUUGUUAAGUCAGGGGUGAAAUCCUGGAGCUCAACUCCAGAACUGCCUUUGAUACUGGCAAUCUCGAGUCCGGAAGAGGUGAGUGGAACUCCUAGUGUAGAGGUGGAAUUCGUAGAUAUCAGGAGGAACACCUGUGGCGAAAGCGGCUCACUGGACCAUAACUGACGCUGAUGCACGAAAGCUAGGGGAGCAAACAGG
rnacentral:rRNA from 1 species